UACGGAGGAUCCAAGCGUUAUCCGGAUUUAUUGGGUUUAAAGGGUGCGUAGGCGGGAUGCCAAGUCAGCGGUAAAAAUGCGGUGCUCAACGCCGUCGAGCCGUUGAAACUGGCGUUCUUGAGUGGGCGAGAAGUAUGCGGAAUGCGUGGUGUAGCGGUGAAAUGCAUAGAUAUCACGCAGAACUCCGAUUGCGAAGGCAGCAUACCGGCGCCCUACUGACGCUGAGGCACGAAAGCGUGGGUAUCGAACAGG
rnacentral:rRNA from 1 species